rnacentral:rRNA from 1 species
UGGUGGAGUGAUUUGUCUGGUUAAUUCCGAUAACGAACGAGACCUUAACAGAUAGUUGAGUAGAAGAAAAGAUUCUUUGGACUCACUAGAGGGACUGGCGGGGGAUAACCUGCAGGAAGUAUGAGGCAAUAACA